rnacentral:lncRNA from 1 species
CUCAUCAAUGGAUCGGUCCAUUGAUGAGGUCAGCACCCUCAUGAUCUAAUCACUUCUCUGGACCCCACCUCUGAACUUUGCUCUAUUGAGGAUCAAGCCCUCAAUAUGAGUCUUUGAGGAACAGGCAGAGAUGUGUUAAGGGAGCACAGUGAUUGCUCCUACAACCCCCUUAUUUGUGGUUUCACUUUCCAUGCUUUCAGUAACCCUUGGCCAACCUGGCUCCACAAUCCUCCUUCUGACAAAGGUGAUGACACAUUGUCUGCAUCAUUCACCUCAUUUCAUCUCAUCAGCUUCCCUGGACCCAGGUGGAGACUCUUGGAAGGCUGGUGGGAUAGAGUGGGGGCCAGCUCCAGGAGAUGCCUCUGUACCCCUAUACCCUAGGGUGGAUUUGGAGUUCUGCUUGCUACUCUGGACACCUACCUGGGUUCUGAGACCAGGAUCACUUGGGAAGAGGAAGAGCCUCCUCAUACACGAUGUGAGGUGCAUGGGUUUGUUUACUGCCAUCUGCUUGGGUACUGUCCUUACAGAAAUGAUUUCUUUGUCAAAAUACACGACAAGGAGCCUGGUUUUGCCCCAGGCUUCUGUUUCAUAACUCUUUUUAUUGGAGCAGAAAGAAGUGGCACAUUAUUGUUCUUCUGCUUCAUGUCUUCUCAUGGAUCAAGAAAGCAACAAGCACUUUGUACAAAUAGAAAAGCCUGCUUUGUUGUCUGAGGACAGGGAGGUGGGGUUGCAAGGAGAAGGCCUUUUACAGGCCAUAAAAGAGACACAGGGCACAAAGCAGGCUGGAGGCGACGGGCGAGAGGGCCUGGGAAUAGGUGGAAAGAAAUCACUUGCUCUUAAUCACUGGCUCAGAGAAGGUCCCACAUGUUUCUGUAUGAAAGUGAUCUUGGCAAGGCAUAUGUCAUGCCUGGUAGCUCCAUUUUUGUGAGAAGGAUCUUUUUGGGGGCAGUUUUAUGCACUAAUGUUUCUGAAAAUUGGAGUGACUUGGUCAGGUUGUUGAGGGGACUUUGAUAUUUUAAGAAACCUUGGUAACACUACUGAGACAAUCAGCAGCAUGCUUUCCUGCGUGUCACCUGCUCUCCUUGUAACCUAUCUGGGGCAAGGUGGCUAUUGUCAUGCUCAAUUACAGGCAGGCAGCCACAGCUUAGAGAAUGAGUUCUUCCCUCCACUUGAGUCAGGGUCAAUUCCUGAUGUGUGUGUUCCUUGUACAAAAUUGUUCAGUAAAGUAAGUCUCUGCCUAUAUUAUAUUAUUGGCUUCACAAACCUGAAGUUUUCCAUGUUGGACUUUAUUCAAGGGGAGCCCAAAGCUGAGUCAGCUAAGUUGCCACAACCUAAUAUGAUGAGUAUAUGACCUUGAGGGAGCUAAUUAAAAGAAUUAAUAUUUUUCUACAGCAUAAAAGAGACUAAACAACCAGAAAUUUCCUCCGACGCUGUUUUCUUUCCCUACUUCCAGAUAAAUGUUCUUUUUUUAAAAAAAAUUAUUUUUAUUACUGCAUGUUCCUAGUACUUAAUGAUUACUAUAUUCAUUGUGGGUAGUUGGUAUAUGUACAGAUACUUUCUAGGACAGUGAUUUACACAUUUUUUUGAGUUUCAGACUCACCCGGAGAGUGUGUUGAAACAGAUUGCUGGAUCCCAUUCUUAGGGGUUCUGACUCAACAGGCCUGGGUGGAGCCAGAGAAUUGUAUUCUGAUCAAUCCUGUAGUGGUGUGGCUGCCGCUGGUUCAUGGACCUCACUUUGAGAACCACAGUAAUACAAUAGUUUUUUUUCCCUAUGUAUGCUCUAAUUGUGUCUAUCUUUAUAUCCCUACAUAUAUGCACAACAGAUGAAUAAAAAUGGAUCCAUGUGUUACUAAUAAUUUUGAAAUUUGCUUUCAUUUAAAAAUAUCCUAGGAGGCUGGGCAUGGUGGCACAUGCCUGUAAUCCUAGC